AUACGUAGGUGGCAAGCGUUGUCCGGAUUUACUGGGUGUAAAGGGCGUGUAGGCGGAUAUGCAAGUCAGGCGUGAAAACUAUGGGCUUAACCCAUAGCCUGCGUUUGAAACUGUGUAUCUUGAGUAUCGGAGAGGCAGGCGGAAUUCCUCGUGUAGCGGUGAAAUGCGUAGAUAUGAGGAGGAACACCAGUGGCGAAGGCGGCCUGCUGGACGACAACUGACGCUGAGGCGCGAAAGCGUGGGGAGC
rnacentral:rRNA from 1 species